rnacentral:rRNA from 1 species
CGGUACGUACUGGCAUUGUAGGUUUCUCCCUUCUGACGAACCAUGAUGUCAUUUAUUUGGUGUUGUGGGGAAUCAGGACUGUUACUUUGAAAAAAUUAGAGUGUUUAAAGCAGGCUCACGCUUGAAUACAUUAGCAUGGAAUAAUGAAAUAGGACGUUUGAUUCUAUUUUGUUGGUUUCUAGGAUCGACGUAAUGAUUAAUAGGGAUAGUUGGGGGCAUUAGUAUUCAAUUGUCAGAGGUGAAAUUCUUGGAUUUAUUGAAGACUAACUACUGCGAAAGCAUUUGCCAAGGAUGUUUUCAUUAAUCAAGAACGAAAGUUAGGGGAUCGAAGACGAUCAGAUACCGUCGUAGUCUUAACCAUAAACUAUGCCGACUAGGGAUCGGAUGAUGUUAAUUUUUUAAUGACUCAUUCGGCGCCUUACG